rnacentral:lncRNA from 10 species
GUAACUCCAGGGGGUCCCUACCUGUGCUGGGGUCCAGCAGACUUGACAGCUCUUCUUCUAGCAGUUGCUUCACAGAGAGGUCCUCUUCAGGAUCCAAAGGCCCUUCCUCCUGUUCUGGGUCUGUCUGGCCUCCAGCCCUUGCACUUGGGCCAUCUGUGUCUGGGAUUGCACUCCUGCAAAAGAAACCAACCAGUCCAUGGGUAGGGACAUUCCCAUAUAGAUUCAUUCAUUCAUGCCCAUUCAUGUUUGCAUUCAUUUACCCAUAUAGGGAACUGGAUACACAGCCUGGCCUCUAGAGUCAGACCAACCUGGAUCAUGUGAUUCCCGCCCUCCUCUUACUCUGUUUCCUCAUUUGUAAAAUGAGAGUAAUAAAUAACACCCACCUCACAGGGUGUUGUGAGGGUAAAAUGAGACGUUGUAGGUAGAGGGGCCUACCACAGAGCCUGGCACAUUGUAAGCACUCAGCAGACAGAAGUGAAGAUGAGUUCAUUGAUAUCAUUCUCGUUGCCCCUCCCAUGUCUAGGUAUUGCCUGGCACACAGGAGGAGUUUAGUAAACCUCAGUGGAGCCAGUGCAGCCGUCCAUCCGUCCGUAGGAGAAGGCUGGGAUUUUUGCCUGUCUCAUUGCCUGCUCCCUUACUGAUGCUCAGAACAGGGCGUGGCACACAGUGGGUGCUGAAUGAGUGACUGAACAUUCCUUCCUCCCUACUUUAGGCCAAAUCCUAGGCCAGAAGAGCAGACCUAUGGAGGGUGCAGCCGGAGUGAGGCAGCCUAAAGCUGCUCAGAAUCUGCUACCUGCACCCCAGUCUCCUGCUGUCUCCAUCCUGGUCCCUCUCUCCCAUAGACACUUGGGGACAGGCCUGGACCCUCAUCCCAGCAGAGGCUGCAGUGAUGAGGGGCGGCCAGUAGGGGCCUUGAGAUGCCUGUGGGGGCUACGUGCUGCUUACCUGCUGCCUCCUGGCUUGGCCAAGUACUUAUUUCCUCGGUGGUUUGGUUUGGGCUGGAAUUGGCCCUGAUGCAGCAAGGACAGCAGCUGGGAGAUUUGCUACAAGACAGGAAAAAUCUGUUGACUCCACACAAUUCCGACUCAGCACACUUCCUCGCCGGAUGUUUCCCUCAAUGCCGGUGCUUUCUUUUUAUAGUCUUUCCUCUGGCUUCAGAUGUUUGUGUGAUCAGAUGGGGGAUGGUGCCCAGUGACAGAGACAGGGACCUGGGCGGGCAGGUCCCCUGCUCUGUCAUGUCACCCCAGGACCUGAGUGUCUGAAGGAGAGCAAGAGGACCCUCUGGGCCUGUCCCCUCAUACUCAUUCCUCCGAGUGUCCUGCACCUGGUGGACUCUGAGAGAUGGGGUGAAAAAGGCAUUUCCUGACCAUCAAUUUGUUGUUACUUUGAUGAAGAUUAUCUUAAAGAGUUAUGUUCCCCUUUAGCAGUAUUUGGACAUUCGGCCAAUUUUUGUUGACCAGAUGUAAGACUAUGUUGUAGAGAAGGCAAAAUGGUGUCAUUGAAUUAUUCAUUUAUUCAUCUUUUCAUUCAUUCAACAAGUACUUAAUAAGUGCCAGGCAGGGUGGUUGCUAUGGGAGUAAGAAGGAGAAGGAGCCCCAGCUGCUGCCCUCAGCGUGGUCACAUCUGUCAGGAUGUGAAGGUUGCAGGCAGCCCCACAGGGAGGCUGGCUGGAGAUCAGGGCAGCGAAGAGUGUUUACCACAGGGGUUGCCUCUGGGCAUAGGGAAAGAAUGGGGGCUCUGUGGGAGCAGAGGGCCCCUAACCCAACUUGGAGCAGGGAGGAAGCAGGGGGGUGGUACUGGAUUAAGUUAAUUCAUUCAUUUCAACAGAUGUUACUGAGUUCAUACCACAUGCCAGGCACCUCUGCUGAGACCCAAAGGCUCCAUAGGAGUUUGGCAAGUGGAAAGAGAAUGAAGGUCUGGGCAAGGGGUGGGGAGGUUUUCAGGCAGAAGCACUGCACACUGAAAGGCUGGAAGAGAAGGUAGAGUUUCAGAAAGACUGGAGAAUGGAGUAGGGGAUGGGUGAGAUAUCACGGCCAGACCCUAUAGGCCAUUGGAAGGGAGAGGCAACAGAUCAAGUCCUGGGAGGCGGAGUUCUAGUUCAAGGCCAUUUGUAGCUUAUUGUAUAGCAUUAGACAGGUUUUUAGACCUCCUCAGACCUCAGUUUCCUCAUCUCUAAUAGGGGGCUAGAAAUACCCACACGCCUUCUUCUCAGUGUUGUCACGAUUAAAUGGUUUGAAAAAGUUAAAAAUCCUCUGCAAAAGCAAGGAGUUUGCACUGUUAUUCCUAGAAACACUGCUUCCUCCUCCUGGGUCCAUCCCCAUUCCUCCCUUAGGAGGUCCACCAUGCCCCUCUGUGCAGCUUGAGGUAGGAAGUGUCAACCUCAGAGGAGAGUUGGAAGAGGAGAUGGCCAGGACUGGGGUUUCACUGUGACUUGGGAGACUCGGGGUCUUAUUGCCUGCCUCAGGGAAGAUCCCACCUCCCAGCCCAGGCCCAGAAGCCCUCCUAAGAUACCUGCCACCCUUUGCUCAAGUGACAGCUGCCUUUUCAUGACAUGACUCCCUACAUGCCAAGCCCUAUGCUGAGCACUGUCAUUCAGGGUCACUUCACAGUUACAGCCCAGACUCGAAUCAGUCAGACUCAGGUUCAAAUCCUAAAUAUGUCCCUGCCCCAGUUCCCAUCAGUGUGGCCUUGAGGAAUUACUUAAGCAUUCUGAGAAAAUUACUCAGUUUCCUCAACAGUAAAAAAAGUGCAUAUUAAUGAGACCCAGGUCAUAUGGUGGGUUACGAGGUUUAAAUGAGCUUAUUAAUAAAUCCCAUGAUAAACAGU